AUGGGUCCAGCAGGGAGAUUCCUCGACAUCUGCCAAGGAGAGCGAAGCAUCGAGGAUUAUGCUUGGGAGUUCAUGGGGGCGGCUCGGCUGUCAGCGACAGAGAGGACCUGUCUAAUGGUUUUCUUCUGGGGAGGACUAGCCGAGCCCUUGAAGUCCCUUAUGCCAUUCUGGCACCCCGACGAGACGCUGGAGGAUUACAUCAACCUGGCUCUGCAGUUGAGCGGCUCAGCAGUUAGGGUGGAGUUAGCUGCAGAGCCGGCUCAAGGUUCUCCCGAGGCGACAGUCCUGGAGUCAGCAGAAACCUCGUCGGCUGCACCCAGUACCUCACACCUGUUCCUGGAGCAUCACGGGCUGAUGCGCUGCAUGCGGGAUUCACAGUUGAUGUCGGUGCGAGCAGCGUGGUCGGCUCGCAGGACUCACAAGGGGGUGGAGCCUCCUGAUGUUCCCUCUGAGGCAGUGGGGCUGACUGCUAGCCUUCACAAAGCCGCAGAUUCCACUGAUGAUGCCCCCGAGUCAGCAGUGUCCGCCCACGAUGCCCCCGAGGCGGCGUCGACCGCCCACGAUGCCCCCGAGGCGGUGGCAUCCGCUCACGAUGUCCCCGAGGCGGCGUCCGCUCACGAUGUCCCCGAGGCGGUGGCGCCCGCUCACGAUUCCCACGAGGUGGAGUUGACCACUCCGAAAGCUCCAGAGUUGAGUCAGGUUCCCGUUGACCCUCCAAAGUCAAGUCACGUUCCAGUUGAUUUUCCUGAAUCAAGUAAGAUUCCUGUUGACCCCCCAGAGUCGAGUCAGUUUCCAGUGAACCCUCCAGAGUCGAGUCAGGUUCCAGUGAACCCUCCAGAGUCGAGUCAGGUUCCAGUCGAGUCAGGUUCCAGUGAGGUUCCAGUGGACCCUCCAGAGUCGAGUCAGGUUCCAGUGGACCCUCCAGAGUCGAGUCAGGUUCCAGUGGACCCUCCAGAGUCGAGUCAGGUUCCAGUGGACCCUCCAGAGUCGAGUCAGGUUCCAGUGGACCCUCCAGAGUCAAGUCAGGUUCCAGUGGACCCUCCAGAGUCGAGUCAGGUUCCAGUGGACCCUCCAGAGUCGAGUCAGGUUCCAGUGAACUCUCCAGAGUCGAGUUCAACAUCGUUGAACCUCCAGAGUCGAGUCAGGUUCUUGGUGACCCCCCAGAGUCGAGUCAGUUUCUUGGUGACCCCCCAGAGUCGAGUCAGGUUCUUGGUGACCCCCCAGAGUCGAGUCAGGUUCUUGGUGACCCCCCAGAGUCGAGUCAGGUUCUUGGUUACCCCCCAGAGUCGAGUCAGGUUCCUGUUGACCCCCCAGAGUCGAGUCAGGUUCCAGUGA
rnacentral:lncRNA from 1 species